UAAGUAUAUGUAUAUGCUACGCCUUGCUAUACGACAUGCGGUAUAUGCAGGGUAUAUUACCACACCAUUCUAUCGCUGAAGUUGCUCAUACCUUGACAAUACCAGCUCUGUCGUUAUUGAC
rnacentral:lncRNA from 1 species